GCGAAUGGCAUGCCGGGAGCGGUGGUAAUACGGAGGGAGCUAGCGUUGUUGGGAAUUACUGGGCGUAAAGCGUACGUAGGCGGCGACUCAAGUCAGAGGUGAAAGCCCGGGGUUCAACGCCGGAACUGCCUUUGAAACUAGGUAGCUAGCAUCUUGGAGAGGUCAGUGGAAUUCCGAGUGUAGAGGUGAAAGUCGUAGAGAUUCGGAAGAACACCAGUGGCGAAGGCGACUGACUGGACAAGUAUUGACGCUGAGGUGCGAAAGCGUGGGGAGCAAACAGGAUUAGAUACCCUUGUAGUC
rnacentral:rRNA from 1 species